UCCGUAGGCGGGCAAUUAAGUCAGAGGUGAAAUCCCACAGCUCAACUGUGGAACUGCCUUUGAUACUAGUUGUCUUGAGUUAUAGUGAAGUAGAUAGAAUAUGUAGUGUAGCGGUGAAAUGCAUAGAUAUUACAUAGAAUACCGAUUGCGAAGGCAGUCUACUAACUGUAUACUGACGCUAAUGGACGAAAGCGUGGGGAGCGAACAGGAUUAGAUACCCUGGUAGUCC
rnacentral:rRNA from 1 species